CCAGCUCAUACCCAUUUCAACCUUUAUUAAUAUUCCUAAGUUACUUUAGUACAUGAAGGAUUCAUUAUUUCAUCAUUUGGAACAUUCUCUUCAAGAUAAAAAAUAGACCAUGCUCUUCAAGACCAUGUCCUUGAACAAUGCCAGAGACCAUGUCCUUGGACGCAGGAGACAAAGAGCUAAGAAGAGCAGCAAACACCCUAAAUUCCUGAGAUUAGAUAAUGUGUGUCCCAAGAAAUCGGUCAUCUCCGCCCAAAAUCUACAUAACUAGUAUACUCUAGGAUUUCCGCCACACCUAUGGUCCGACAUUCUUCUCAUUGUAACCCCCCACUCAGAAAUCCUAUUUAAUUAAACUCUCUUCAUUCAUUAAACAGAGACAUUCACCAUCUUAAA